rnacentral:rRNA from 1 species
GGUUGAUCCUGCCAGUAGUCAUAUGCUUGUCUCAAAGAUUAAGCCAUGCAUGUGUAAGUAUAAGUAUUGUACAGCGAAACUGCGAAUGGCUCAUUAAAACAGUUAUAGUUUAUUUGAUAAUCGAAAGUUACAUGGAUAACCGUGACAAAUUACAGCUAAUACAUGCAUUAAGACCCCUAUGGGGUUGUAAUUAUUAGUACUAAACCAAUUCCUCCGGGAAUGUGAUGAAUCAUAGUAAUUGAACGAAUCGCAGGAUUCUGCGAUAAAUCAUUCAAGUUUCUGCCCUAUCAG